rnacentral:rRNA from 1 species
AUGAACGCUGGCGGCGUGCUUAACACAUGCAAGUCGAACGAAGCACCUCUAAUCGAAGAUUGAGAAGCUUGCUUUGAUUGAUUCACCUGAGGUGACUGAGUGGCGGACGGGUGAGUAACGCGUGGGUAACCUACCCUAUACAGGGGGAUAACAGUUGGAAACGACUGCUAAUACCGCAUAAGCGCACAGGACCGCAUGGUCUAGUGUGAAAAACUCCGGUGGUAUAGGAUGGACCCGCGUCUGAUUAGCUAGUUGGUGAGGUAACGGCUCACCAAGGCGACGAUCAGUAGCCGACCUGAGAGGGUGACCGGCCACAUUGGGACUGAGACACGGCCCAAACUCCUACGGGAGGCAGCAGUGGGGAAUAUUGCACAAUGGGCGAAAGCCUGAUGCCAGCGACGCCGCGUGAACGAAGAAGUAUUUCGGUAUGUAAAGUUCUAUCAGCAGGGAAGAAAAUGACGGUACCUGACUAAGAAGCUCCGGCUAAAUACGUGCCAGCCGCAGC